ACUGCUCAUUAACACGUGAUCAACUUACCCUAUAGAGGAAAAUAACCUCGGGAAACUGAGGAUAAUGUUCCAUAGUUGAAUCGGCUUGGAAGAGUUUUUCAAUAAAAGGGAUAAGGAAAAUGGUUCUUAUCUGCUAUAGGAUAGGAUCGUGCUCGAUUAUGGUUGUUGGUGAGGUAAAGGCUCACCAAGCCGAUAAUCGAUAGGGGCCGUGAGAGCGGGAGCCCCGAGAUGGGUACUGAGACAACGACCCAGGCCUUACGAGGCGCAGCAGGCGCGAAACCUCCGCAAUACACGAAAGUGUGACGGGGUUACCCAAAGUGUUCUAUUUAGAACUGUGGUAGGUGAGUAAUGUCCCCUACUAGAAAGGAGAGGGCAAGGCUGGUGCCAGCCGCCGCGGUAAAACCAGCUCUUCAAGUGGUCGGGAUAAUUAUUGGGCUUAAAGUGUCCGUAGCCGGUUUAGUAAGUUCCUGGUAAAAUCGGGUAGCUUAACUAUCUAUAUGCUAGGAAUACUGCUAUACUAGAGGGCGGGAGAGGUCUGAGGUACUACAGGGGUAGGGGUGAAAUCUUAUAAUCCUUGUAGGACCACCAGUGGCGAAGGCGUCAGACUGGAACGCGCCUGACGGUGAGGGACGAAAGCCAGGGGAGCGAACCGGAUUAGAUACCCGGGUAGUCCUGGCCGUAAACGAUGCAUACUAGGUGAUGGCACGGCCAUGAGCCGUGUCAGUGCCGUAGGGAAACCGUUAAGUGUGCCGCCUGGGAAGUACGGUCGCAAGGCUAAAACUUAAAGGAAUUGGCGGGGGAGCACCACAAGGGGUGAAGCCUGCGGUUCAAUU
rnacentral:rRNA from 1 species